rnacentral:rRNA from 1 species
GUGUCAGCCGCCGCGGUAAGACGGAGGAGGCAAGCGUUAUCCGGAAUUAUUGGGCGUAAAGGGUCCGCAGGUGGCAGUUCAAGUCUGCAGUCAAAGGUCGGGGCUCAACCCCGGAAAGGCUGUGGAAACUGAACAGCUAGAGUACGGUAGGGGCAGAGGGAAUUCCCAGUGUAGCGGUGAAAUGCGUAGAGAUUGGGAAGAACACCGGUGGCGAAAGCGCUCUGCUAGGCCGAAACUGACACUGAGGGACGAAAGCUAGGGGAGCGAAAGGGAUUAGAUACCCCUGUAGUCCUAGCUGUAAACGAUGGAGACUAGGUGUGGCGGGAGUUGACCCCGGCCGUGCCGGAGCUAACGCAGUAAGUAUCCCGCCUGGGGAGUACGGCCGCAAGGCUAAAACUUAAAUGAAUUGACGGGG